ACAGCAGCCGCCGCGGGAAUACGGAGGGUGCAAGCGUUAUCCGGAUUUAUUGGGUUUAAAGGGUCCGUAGGCGGAUCUGUAAGUCAGUGGUGAAAUCUCACAGCUUAACUGUGAAACUGCCAUUGAUACUGCAGGUCUUGAGUAAAUUUGAAGUGGCUGGAAUAAGUAGUGUAGCGGUGAAAUGCAUAGAUAUUACUUAGAACACCAAUUGCGAAGGCAGGUCACUAAGAUUUAACUGACGCUGAUGGACGAAAGCGUGGGGAGCGAACAGGAUUAGAUACCCCCGUAGUCCCUGUCUCUUAUAC
rnacentral:rRNA from 1 species